GCUUCUCGCUGGAGUGCGCACCGAGCGGCAGUGACUUCGCCGCUGCUGUAGUUCCCCGGCUGGAUGCGGUGACUGGUGCCAGUGCUCAGGCGCCCGCUGCCCUUGACCUCCCGCCCCGCGAGCCCUAACUCAGCGCAGGAGGACCGGCUGCCGCCGCCGCCGCCGCCAGGAGGUAGAUUGGGAAGUGGAGCUGGCCGUGGUCAUUGGAAAGAAAGGCAAGCACAUCAAGGUGAAGUGGAAAAGAUCCACACAACUUAAAGAUCUGCUGUCGAGUGAAUGGGGAAGUGGUCCAGAGCAGCAACACCAACCAGAUGGUAUUCAAGACAGAGGACCUGAUAGCCUGGGUGUCCCAGUUUGUUACCUUUUACCCAGGGGAUGUCAUCCUGACUGGGACCCCCCCACCUCCACCCAGGUGUCGGUGUAUUCAGGAAACCUCCUGUCUUUCUCAAGAAGGGGGAUGAAGUCCAGUGUGAGAUUGAAGAACUAGGUGUCAUCAUCAACAAGGUGGUGUGAUGGCUCCUGCACAGGCCCUGCACAUAGGAUGAGGGCAUCUGCUCCCACUCAGCCUAGCCCAGGGAAAGGCCCAGUGACAGGUGUGGACAGGUGCCAGCCCUGCAAGCCGCCUCUUCUCGGUAGAAGGGAGAAGGACAGAGCUCUCUUCAAUAAAUUCGUCGGGUCAAAGCAGCA
rnacentral:lncRNA from 1 species